rnacentral:rRNA from 1 species
UGGGGAAUUUUGGACAAUGGGGGCAACCCUGAUCCAGCAAUGCCGCGUGUGUGAAGAAGGCCUUCGGGUUGUAAAGCACUUUUGUCCGGAAAGAAAACGCCGUGGUUAAUACCCGUGGCGGAUGACGGUACCGGAAGAAUAAGCACCGGCUAACUACGUGCCAGCAGCCGCGGUAAUACGUAGGGUGCAAGCGUUAAUCGGAAUUACUGGGCGUAAAGCGUGCGCAGGCGGUCCGCUAAGACAGAUGUGAAAUCCCCGGGCUUAACCUGGGAACUGCAUUUGUGACUGGCGGGCUAGAGUAUGGCAGAGGGGGGUAGAAUUCCACGUGUAGCAGUGAAAUGCGUAGAGAUGUGGAGGAAUACCGAUGGCGAAGGCAGCCCCCUGGGCCAAUACUGACGCUCAUGCACGAAAGCGUGGGGAGCAAACAGGAUUAGAUACCCUGGUAGUCCACGCCCUAAACGAUGUCAACUAGUUGUCGGGUCUUCAUUGACUUGGUAACGUAGCUAACGCGUGAAGUUGACGCCUGGGAGUACGGUCGCAAGAUUAAAACUCAAAGGAAUUGACGGGGUC